UGAGACAUGAAUCCAGGCCCUACGGGGCGCAGCAGGCGCGAAAACUUUACAAUGCGGGAAACCGUGAUAAGGGGACACCGAGUGCCAGCAUCAUAUGUUGGCUGUCCAGAUGUGUAAAAUACAUCUGUUAGCAAGGGCCGGGCAAGACCGGUGCCAGCCGCCGCGGUAACACCGGCGGCCCGAGUGGUGAUCGUGAUUAUUGGGUCUAAAGGGUCCGUAGCCGGUUUGGUCAGUCCUCCGGGAAAUCUGACGGCUCAACCGUUAGGCUUUCGGUGGAUACUGCCAGACUUGGAACCGGGAGAGGUAAGAGGUACUACAGGGGUAGGAGUGAAAUCUUGUAAUCCCUGUGAGACCACCUGUGGCGAAGGCGUCUUACCAGAACGGGUUCGACGGUGAGGGACGAAAGCUGGGGGCACGAACCGGAUUAGAUACCCGGGUAGUCCCAGCCGUAAACGAUGCUCGCUAGGUGUCAGGCAUGGCGCGACCGUGUCUGGUGCCGCAGGGAAGCCGUGAAGCGAGCCACCUGGGAAGUACGGCCGCAAGGCUGAAACU
rnacentral:rRNA from 1 species